GGCGGGCCACGCCCCUACCGCCCUCUAAGUGUAGGGGCGGAGCCAGCCGGGUUUUGGGAGCUCCCUGCGGCUCUGGCCGCCGGCUGAGAAAAGGAACCUGACUUGGGCGGAUACAAAGCUUGGCUCGGUCGGAGAGAGGAACCUAAAUCACCGCCCUUCUGCCUUUUACUCUUACCCGCGUGACUCCAGGAUCCCGGGCGCUCCUUACGCUGGGUCUAGCUGACGCACGUGCGCUCGCCUGCACGCCCUGGUGGAAGCGGCCACGGGAGCGAGCACGUUCAGUCGCCCGGGAUCUGUCUCCCCAAUGCCCGCCCUCUUCGCGCCGGCCGGUGCACGUGUUCACUAGGAUCGCGACCUGGAUCUGCGCUGAAUUACUCCCGUGAUUUCCUCACUACAGAUCUUCUCACCCCGCACCUCUGCUCAUUAAAGAGGCCUGUGUCUCAGUUAACCAUA